GGCGCUAUCAUCUAGUGGUUAGGAUACAGCGUUCUCAACGCUGACACACGGGUUCGAAUCCCGUUAGCGCUA
rnacentral:tRNA from 1 species